rnacentral:rRNA from 1 species
UACGUAGGGCGCAAGCGUUGUCCGGAAUUAUUGGGCGUAAAGAGCUCGUAGGCGGCCAGUUGCGUCCGCUGUGAAAUCCCGGGGCUUAACCCCGGGCGUGCAGUGGAUACGGGCUGGCUAGAGGCAGGCAGGGGAGAACGGAAUUCCCGGUGUAGCGGUGAAAUGCGCAGAUAUCGGGAGGAACACCCGUGGCUAAGGCGGCUCUCUAGUACGUGACUGACGCUGAGACGCGAAAGCGUGGGGAGCGAACAGG